AGCUUAUUAGCAUGGCCAGCUAUCCAUUGCAUUCUUCAUGGCCUCCAGUACAACUGGCUGGAAUAGGUGUUCCUCUAAGGAACUAUUUCCUUGGGUUAGUAAUCAAAGUUUAGCUUGAGUUUUAGCUUCAAGGAGGAAGCUUUUAGAAGCUUUUGGGUUGGUUCUGGCAUACAGAAAGUAAUAAAACUUAAGGACCUUUUUGUUUGCUUUAAGUUGGCCAAGGGAAAAAUAUAUGUGUAUAUCAUCAUAGGCGUUAUACUCGAGCCCUAAAGCGGGCAGAUUACCAUUGUGUAAGACAAUGAAAGCAUAAUAUGACCCUUUGGAGCUCGGAGAUGAGCAAGGGACUCGCUGACUUAAGGACGUUCAUAUCCGUGGCAACGGCAUAAUUGCGUCUCAUCCCAUAGAAAUUUAUAUGCUUUUGCAUUUGAGUUGACGCCUUAAUGAAACCAUGAAGAUUCUAUACCAUUACAGAUGUGCAUCUUACAGAUAGAGUAUUAUGCGUUUGCCGAAUCUGAAAAUUAAUCAAUUUUGGAUUAGUCGACCCGUUCCCCUGCCUUUAAAACAAAGCAAAUAUGUGUAUUUUUCCAUUAUGUUAAUAAAUGAAAUGCUUGUAUCUUCCACCCCGGUUACUGCGAGGCUAGAAGACUUAAAAGAGUAUAAUUAAAUCAUAAAUGGA